UACAUACAUUCCACCAUUACAAUUCAUUCUCCAUGAUUUUGUGCAUUAACCGCAAGUUCCUAACACUCAUGUAAAUGUAUACAUAAUAACAGAACAUAGUACAUAAACACAUAUACAACUAACCAAAUCUCAAGAAAAUUAACGUAUCCCUUGAACAAUGUCGGUCGGGUACCAUAAAAUUGGUGAAUUAUCAAGCUGUCCAUAGUUUUUUCCACCAAGCAUUGUUCCAAUAACCUGUAGCUGGGGACAAUAGCUAGGUAUUCCCAAGUUCUGGUAUUCAGAUUAUUUUGAGCUGAAUUCAAUAGUUAUCAGAAAGUUAAGGAAAUCAAAAGAUAAAAAACUCCUCUCUCUAUGGUCAACUCAUGAUAAUACUUUGUCAAAAAAAUAGUUUAUACCAUUUUGUUCAACAUUUUUCAGCUCCUUAAGCUCACGUCUGGCUGCAGGUAUGGUUGCGGUUCAUUCAUCAGGUUCUGCAAAUCUGCUCUGGUGAAACCUGGUGUUCAAUAUGAAACCUUAUCAAAUUCAACAUCCUUCAAAACAACAAUAAUUCGUUACAAAUUUACUACCAAUAUCGCAAAGACCAUCUCUACCUUAAUAUGGCCAACCAAACCCUCUGAAAAUAGAACAACUUUGAAGCAACAUUUGAAAUAUAGAUGAAGACACCAAAAUACAAUAGAAAUUAACUCGAAGUUGGACAAAAUAUGCACAACAGUAUAUUUCCCUAGAUUUUCAAACUAAUGCAUAUACAUUUAUAGCAUAUUAAGCCGAAGUAUAUAACAGUUUCCAUAAGAGAUAACUA
rnacentral:lncRNA from 1 species